UGUUUUUUUGUAUUUUAUU
rnacentral:sRNA from 1 species